GGGCGUGGCUUGUGACUGCCGGGGGGCAGGGGGGGCCUUGUGACUCCUUGGCGGGCCGGCUGGAAAAGUUUGAAAGCUGGAACCGGCCUGGGCCUAAAAAUGGGAAAUUUUUCCUGCAUUUCUCACGUUCAGCCUACUUAUUUUGCUCCGUUCCCUCCUGUUGCCAAGUCUCCUUUGGUCUUCUUUGUCUUGCUCAAGAGCCUUGUACUGAGGUGGAACUUUGCAAGUGUCUUAACAAGAUCUAAUAAGCUUGGAAACUGAAAGGGGAAAUGAGGAUAUUCCCUUCUGGCUGUAAUCAUGGUGUGAGGGAGGUGGAGACUCUACAAAGGAAGGCUCCUCAGCCUGGAGGUUUGCAGGUUUCUCCCUCAAAAGAUCCUGCUCCAUAGUACUGAGAAAACACAGUGGCCGUUGUGUGGGAGACCACCACAGCUGCCUCAAGGGAAGCCAACACAGUCAUAGUUCCUGAGCUCAUUGGGAUCGGAUGUUUACAGAAGUCUCCCACAGAAGAUGAACUUACCACCCUGGAAAUUACCUAUGGAAGCUGAGUCACCUACCUCGCUCCUGGAGCCCACUGGCUGUUUCCAAGGCCUUCUUCAUUAUUCAAACCACGACUCCAUCACAGGAAUACCCAAAGCAACAUUUGAUAGUUGUGGAAGAUUUUUACCCUCACAAGUCAUGAAUACUUUCUGUUUAUUGCUUACACUGAGGAUUUAUGACUAUCUAAGUGUUGUAUUUCCGAAGGGAAGCAUCCUAUCCUCAGGUAAGGACAAAUUCUUUAUUCAUAUUGAAAAUGAAAGCAAGUAAAGGGCAAGAAUUUUUUUUUUUAAAUUCCUCUUCCAGGAUGUUCAGAAUGAAAAGCUUAUUGAAAUAAGACCUUUAAAGUGUUUCCUUUCACUGUUCAUUUGGGAAGAGAUUUCACAGAUGGUACAGACACCCUGAAAUGUUGCCUGGUCUGAAAUCUUUUAUCUAUAGCUUUAGAAGAGCAAAGGGUAUGACAUAUGGAAAGGAGCAAACAGCCGUGGGAAGGCAUGGCUAGGGACAGGGACAGGGAUAGGAAUGUAAAUUAUAUCACUGAUUCUUGCCUCAAAAUAUUUCUGGUUGGCUCCUAUCCAUGGGGUACCACACUUGGGUGCACAAUGGAGGCUGCAUAUGGGGCAAUUAAGGGCAGAUGUGAUUCCAUGACCAUCACACAGAAUUGCAGGCUUUGCAAGUUCUAGCCCUUGACCAAAGCCACAGUGUUUUUAUAUAAUCAUGGUUGGUAUAGAUUGGACCAUGUCCCUCCCAAAUUCAUAUGUUGACAUCCUAACUCCCUAUAUCUCAGAAUGUAACUUUAUUUGGAAAUAAGGUCAUUGCAAAUAUAAUUAAUUAAGCUGAGGUCAUACCAGCAUAGAAUAGGCCCUUAAUCCAAUAGGACUGGUGUCCACAUAAAAAGGGGAAAUUUUGGACACAGAGACAAACACAUACAGAGGGAAAACUAUGUGAGGACAGAGGGAGAGGUCAGCCAGCGACAAGAAACAUCAAAGAUUGUCAACAAACCAUCAGACCCUAAAAAGAAACAGGGAACCAUCCUGUCCCUCUGUUAAAAACAAGAUGGCAAACCCAAUAUGGAGUCACUUUCAAUAAGCCCCUCUUCACCAAAACAAGACAUAUGGUUUUGGCUCUCCCAGAAAUGGAAUCGUAAACCAGUCAGUCAAAAGUAACUUGAUCAGCACCAGCUAGUCAUCUGCCUUGGAGACCCCUGCCCUCCCCUAAAGGAAAGUAAACUUUCUGUAACUAACAUGCUUUUUUGCCUAGUAUAACUUCCUUGUUUCUGCUCCCCUCUGCUUAUAUCAUUUUGUGAAGCUCCUUUCUAUCUGCUGGAUUGAAUGCUGCCCAGUUCAUGAGUUGUUGAAUAAAGCCAAUA
rnacentral:lncRNA from 1 species